CGGACGGGUGAGUAACGCGUGGAAAACCUGCCGUAUACUGGGGGAUAACACUUAGAAAUAGGUGCUAAUACCGCAUAAGCGCACAGCUUCGCAUGAAGCAGUGUGAAAAACUCUGGUGGUAUACGAUGGUUCCGCGUCUGAUUAGCUAGUUGGUGGGGUAAUGGCCUACCAAGGCAACGAUCAGUAGCCGGCCUGAGAGGGUGAACGGCCACAUUGGGACUGAGACACGGCCCAAACUCCUACGGAAGGCAGCAG
rnacentral:rRNA from 1 species